AUCGAGCUGGCUUAGUUGGUAGAGCAUGUGACUCUUGAUCUCUGAGUUGUGAGUUCAAGCCCCAUGUUGGGUG
rnacentral:tRNA from 1 species